CAAAAUAAUAGUGGCUGGCACAUGUGCACUGUUUGCCAGGCAUUCUUCUAAGCUUAUAUAUAUAUUGGCUUGUUUAAGGAAUUCAGCUUAGCCAGACCAUAAGAAAAUUGGAAUCUGAAGUCUUCAUUUGUAUCUUCCAGGAUUGCAUGGUAUUUUAAAUUUCUGCUUCUCCUUAGUUCCUGAGAACUGGAAAAUUAGGAUGCACAGACUCCUUUUCUUUGUAUCUUUUAGGGGUUGCAUAAUAUCGCUCAUGUGUGUUACACAUUAAUUUUCCUCCUAACCCUUUCCUGUUUGCACAUGGCCAGAGAUGACCUGCCCAGAGGCGGCUUCAUAGGAGAGAUCAGCUCCUGGGAGUGGAAUCUGAGCACUUUAGCUCACUCUAUGGGUUGGUCUGAGUCAGAGGUCUUCCCUGUGUCCAGUAGACUGUGGUGACAUCUGUAUGAGUCAUGAGGUACAAUCUUUACCAGAGACCAUCCUGAAGUGAUUUCAGACUUGGAGAAUGGGCUGUCAGUCGUCCCAAAUCACAUCUAGGAACCUUGAAGAAUGGGGCCUCUGCAAGAGGAGGUGGGCUGGGUCUUCUUGGUGAGUUUUGCAGCCAACGUCUGCCAGGAUGGUGUGUGGUAAUGGUGAGCCAGGCAAGGCCGGGGUGGAGCCUCUGUCCACUGCUAGGAGGCUGCAGAUUCCUGAAGGUUCUUCCAGACGUGCCUCUAGAUCUCCCCAUCAUUCCUGUUGGAGUUGAUUUCUAACUGUUCCCUCUCUUUUCACAUCUCUCUCCUCUACACCUCAGACAGAAUUACCCUUCAUAAAUACACAUUGAUCCUAUGGAUUUACUAUUAAAACUUCAUUCAUUGAUCCCCAUGGCUUGCAGCAGCAGCGUUUACGGGGUGCCAGGUACACUGGUCAGUGUGACCCAGUUGGCGAGCUGGUAGGAGGGGGCUGUAGGUGCCACCGCUAAAGGGCAGGAAGCGCCAUCGCGGCGCCUUAUCCCUGGGCUCCAGCUCUGGGGAGUUGGAGUCACUGAGGGAAACCGAGGGAGGCUGGCCUGAGGAAUUCUCACCGUGGCGCCUCCUCUCCAGCCGCGGCCCACCUUCUGCUUCAAUUCGCCUCCUGUCAGCCUUAAUAUUCUCUCCCGGUCUAGACACCAUUUCCUGAAAGUCCCCCUCAUCCCUCCCUUGUUUAUGUUCUUUUCUGUGACCUAAAAUGCUCUUGCACACCCUCCUUCCCAGCCUGCAGAGACUCGUCUUUAUGAAUCUCAUCUUGUUUCUUGGCGCAGCUUCCCUUUUCCCAUCUGGCACGGGAAGCCGGCUGCUCCUCCUGGUUUCUCUGUAUUGGACACGUAUUGAUCACAGCGCUCAGUGUUGCUUAGUGAGGCCUCUGUUCCUCCCACCUCACCGCGGACUCCUGGAAGGUGAUUCUGAGGAUAAUGCAUGGACGUCUCUGAGGAGGCACUCUUCUGCCCAUCAUGCACUGUGCUGAGGGAAGCCAGAUGACAAGAUAAACAGAUACAUGAAUUGCAUGCAUUUCUGUAUAUAUGUGCAUUUGUAUACAUACAUAACUUCACAUCAAGAAAUGCAUAUUGACAGAAGCAAAGAAAAUGCUGUAAUGGAGAAUAAAAUGGAGAACAAGUCUGUUGGAAGAGGAGACAUCUGUGCUGAGAACUGAAAGAGAAUACAAUCUCUCUUCCAAUUUCUCUUCUCUAAGAAAAUAGCUUUAUGGUUUAUACUCAUAAGAUUGUUUUGAGGAUUGAAUGAUGUGAAUGAUGUAAAUGAUGUAACAAUUUUUACAGAACAUCUAGUAGUAUCACUGAUGAUUCCCCAAUGCUUACAAUAGUUUCUUCACAGCGGUGGCUGCAGAACAGCGGUGGCUGUAGAACAGCGGAUUUUGGUGACCCGCAAAUGCUGCUGCCUGAUCAUUCCUCUGGAAGUUUUGUCUCAGAGGAGUACCCAGCCGUG
rnacentral:lncRNA from 10 species